GACGAACGCUGGCGGCGUGCUUAACACAUGCAAGUCGAACGAAGUGGCGAACGGGUGAGUAACGCGUAAUCAACCUGCCCUUCAGAGGGGGACAACAGUUGGAAACGACUGCUAAUCCCGCAUACUGAAGUAGGGGAUUGCGUCUGAUUAGCUAGGUGGAGGGGUAAAGGCCCACCAAGGCGAUGAUCAGUAGCCGGUUUGAGAGGAUGAACGGCCACAUUGGGAAUGAGACAAGGACCAGACUCCUACGGGAGGCAGCAGGGGGGAAGCUUCCGAAAUGGACGAAAGUCUGACGGAGCAACGCCGCGGGUAUGAAGAAGGCCCUAGGGUUGUAAAGCUCUGUUAAUCGGGACGCGGUACCGGAAUAGAAAGCCACGGCUAACUACGUGCCAGCCGCCGCGGUAAUUC
rnacentral:rRNA from 1 species